rnacentral:tRNA from 1 species
GAGAAGUUGGCUCAGUGGUAGAGUGCUUGCCUUGCAUGCAUGAGGCCCUGGGUUUGAUUCCUCAGCAUCACA